UAGAUGAGGCUGUUGAGUCUUUGAAUACUUCUCUUUUGAAUUGCCCUCCUGAUAGAACUUCUGCUGUUGCGAAGCUUAGGUCUCUUAUUGAUAUUACCUCACAGCAGCUUCCCUCCGCCUAGAUGACUUUAUUCUUGAUGGUGGAGAAGUAUUAUAUGUAAUGGAUGACACUCUACUUGAUGAUGUGUAAAGGACUGUGGAAUGCAUCUGGAUUCUUCACACUAAGCCAAGUAAAAGCAUCAUUAGUGGUGAAAAUUGAGAACAUUGUGCAUUUAUGUUGAUUCAGAGAGGCAUAUGAUUACUGCAUACUGUCUCUGAUAGUAAGUGCAUGUGUAACUGCUGAGUAAGUUCGUUUGAAUCUUAUAUGGAAUUUUGUGCAGUUAACAAUUUUGUGCAUGUGGUGUGGCGUGUAGUCACAAGAUUUAUCCCAACAAAUUACAAAGUUAGUGGUGAAACAUGUUCAAGUCUCUCCCUUGAGUCCCUACUAACCUUUCUGUGGUGUUUAUUUGGACAUAAUGAUGCUCUCGUGUUCAUCUGCACAAAGUUGUUGGUUUUUGGAGUACAGUUGGGACUAGGGGAGUAUAAUUGGAUUACGAGGUUUUGAAUGAAUUUAGGUCCUUAUUAAGUGCUGCAGAUUGCUGUCUUCUGUUGAACCAUUUGCAAAGGACUAUAUGUCCACACUGGAGUUUUGAUUCCUCUUGUGGCAGCCCCAAAUCCAGGGGCCAGGAUCAGGUGCCACGGGAAAAGCUAAACAGCCUGUAAAUUUUCCCAUAGCACCCGAUCCUGACCCCUGGAUUUGGGGCUACCACGCCUGGAAUGGUGCUGAGUGUAGGACCUAAACCAGGGAGGAACACAACUUUGAUCAAUGUCGCUGCCUGUCUUUGAAGCUGAAGAUCCUUUUGCGUGGAUGGUGGAAAAAUGAGGUAGGCAGACCACCGAGUUGGUUGAAGUAUCCUGGAGCUGGUGCAGCUACUAUGCAAACCAACAGGAUCUUGUGGUUAAUCAAGCUAUUAGGAGCUCCAACACAAGGGGAUUCUUUGUUUAGUUCAAUUAGUUCUGAAUGUGAAUUGUUGUAAUCUGAUUUAACAGAUGUUUCUUUAAUUUCUAUUGAACGAUCGACUAGUCAGAAGACUCAGAACACUCA